rnacentral:misc_RNA from 1 species
AAGUCGUAACAAGCUUUCCGUAGGUGAACCUGCGGAAGGAUCAUUAACACGUAUCCAAACGUUUAAAAAACAAAGAAAACCCCCUUGUGAACAUUUGCGUGCUCUUGCAGCCCGCCUGGCUAGAAAAGUCGAAACGACCAACCUGCGCAACACGUGUUGAGCCCGUGGGUGAAGAACUGUUAACAAUGGAUAUCUUGGUUCUC